UUGGCACUCGAAGACCCAGAGGACACUUUAAAGCGGGAAACCUGCAAAAAAGAUUAGAGGUCUAGGAAAAUUUCAGGAGCGGAUGAGAUCCCGAAAAGAAUCAGAGGACGUGACAGGCGGAGGCGGUUAGGCGUCCCGGCCCCGGCUAUCAUUCCGUCAAGGGUCCACUCCGAACAAACCAGAAGAUUGUAGAAGAUGCGGCUGUUGAUCCAAUCCGACUAAUGGAAAAGCAAGCGGUGAAGAAACGAGACUCGUGGACUGCAGGCGGUGGUUUAAACUCCUUACACCGGCCACAGCGUCGGAGAGAUAGAUGCUUUCCAAUCGACAAAGAGGCAGGACACACUCCUCACAACCUUCCUGCGAGCGCUUGAAGAACCGGAGCAGGAGCUCCACACAAACAGAGCGACACGACUGACGAGAGGAACCUCACCGUACAAAGGAGAACGAAACUAAGCAUGUCCUCAAAGCUCAGAGCCUCCGGAAGACGGCGAAUGAGACAUAACAGCAGAAGAGUGACGCCUAGAUUUGCUGACUUCAGAUCUAAAAACAGAGGUCCUCGGCGGCUGCCUCUGAAACCGCCUUUCUCAGAAGGAGAUGAGAAACUCUGAACUAACCGGAAAGUAAACAAACGACAGCGGAGAAGAGCAAGACGAGCGGGAACAAGGAGGAGGCAGCGACGCUCCCAGACUGUCUCCGUCGGCUCCGAGAACCAGAUCUACACAGAUCUGUCUUCACCCGCCGUAGAACGUACCCUGUCCGGAACCCUCCACCUUAGACCAAAGAAGAUACCUCGCUUUUGCUCCAGAGGAAACACAGACACCCGUGUGUUCAAUUUUAGGUCCGCCAGAGGUCAACACCGGUGGAGAUACAGAGCAAAACGCAUAUCGGAUCUACUUGGAGAAGAGAGUGGAGCGUGUGAGGCGGGAACCUGCGCAAGAAGAAACAAGAGGGUGACCGGCGGUGAGAGGGCCACCGGCCACCGGACAAAAAACGAGAUCUGGUUUUCUUGUGGAAAGAGUUUUAGAGAGAG
rnacentral:lncRNA from 1 species